GACAGAGGGUGCAACCGUUGUUCGGAAUUACUGGGCGUAAAGGGCUCGUAGGCGGCCAACUAAGUCAGACGUGAAAUCCCUCAGCUUAACUGGGGAACUGCGUCUGAUACUGGAUGGCUUGGAUUCGGGAGAGGAAUGCGGAAUUCCAGGUGUAGCGGUGAAAUGCGUAGAUAUCUGGAGGAACACCGGUGGCGAAGGCGGCAUUCUGGACCGACAUUGACGCUGAGGAGCGAAAGCCAGGGGAGCAAACGGG
rnacentral:rRNA from 1 species